GACCAUCUCUAUUGGGGGUA
rnacentral:snRNA from 1 species